rnacentral:rRNA from 1 species
GUAGGUGGCAAGCGUUGUCCGGAAUUAUUGGGCGUAAAGCGCGCGCAGGCGGUUCUUUAAGUCUGAUGUGAAAGCCCACGGCUCAACCGUGGAGGGUCAUUGGAAACUGGAGAACUUGAGUACAGAAGAGGAAAGCGGAAUUCCACGUGUAGCGGUGAAAUGCGUAGAGAUGUGGAGGAACACCAGUGGCGAAGGCGGCUUUCUGGUCUGUAACUGACGCUGAGGCGCGAAAGCGUGGGGAGCAAACAGGAUUAGAUACCCUGGUAGUCCACGCCGUAAACGAUGAGUGCUAAGUGUUAGGGGGGUUUCCGCCCCCCUUAGUGCUGCAGCUAACGCACUAAGCACUCCGCCUGAGGAGUACGGCCGCAAGGCUG